rnacentral:rRNA from 1 species
UACAGAGGUCCCGAGCGUUGUUCGGAUUUACUGGGCGUAAAGGGUGUGUAGGCGGUCGAAUAAGUUUAGGGUGAAAUCUCCGAGCUCAACUCGGAAAAUGCCUUGAAUACUAUACGGCUAGAGGAUUGGAGGGGGGACUGGAAUUCUCGGUGUAGCAGUGAAAUGCGUAGAUAUCGAGAGGAACAUCAGUGGCGAAGGCGAGUCCCUGGACAAUAACUGACGCUGAGACACGAAAGCUAGGGGAUCAAACAGG